AGUGAACGCUGGCGGUAGGCCUAACACAUGCAAGUCGAACGGCAGCACAGUAAGAGCUUGCUCUUACGGGUGGCGAGUGGCGGACGGGUGAGGAAUACAUCGGAAUCUACUUUUUCGUGGGGGCUAACGUAGGGAAACUUACGCUAAUACCGCAUACGACCUACGGGUGAAAGCAGGGGAUCUUCGGACCUUGCGCGAUUGAAUGAGCCGAUGUCGGAUUAGCUAGUUGGCGGGGUAAAGGCCCACCAAGGCGACGAUCCGUAGCUGGCCUGAGAGGAUGAUCAGCCACACUGGAACUGAGACACGGUCCAGACUCCUACGGGAGGCAGCAGUGGGGAAUAUUGGACAAUGGGCGCAAGCCUGAUCCAGCCAUACCGCGUGGGUGAAGAAGGCCUUCGGGUUGUAAAGCCCUUUUGUUGGGAAAGAAAAGCAGCAGGUUAAUACCCCGCUGUUCUGACGGUACCCAAAGAAUAAGCACCGGCUAACUUCGUG
rnacentral:rRNA from 1 species